rnacentral:rRNA from 1 species
UACGUAGGGUGCAAGCGUUAUCCGGAAUCACUGGGUUUAAAGGGUGCGUAGGUGGGAUAUUAAGUGAGUGGUGAAAGCUUCCGGCUUAACCGGGAAAUUGCCAUUCAUACUGAUAACCUUGAGUACAGUUGAGGCGGGCGGAAUGUGUCAUGUAGCGGUGAAAUGCUUAGAUAUGACACAGAACACCGAUUGCGAAGGCAGCUCGCUAACCUGUAACUGACACUGAGGCACGAAAGCGUGGGGAUCAAACAGG